CCUACGGGAGGCAGCAGUGGGGGAUAUUGCACAAUGGGGGAAACCCUGAUGCAGCGACGCCGCGUGGGUGAAGAAGCGCCUCGGCGCGUAAAGCCCUGUCAGCCGGGAAGAAAAUGACGGUACCUGAAGAAGAAGCCCCGGCUAACUACGUACCAGCAGCCGCGGUAAUACGUAGGGGGCAAGCGUUAUCCGGAUGUACUGGGUGUAAAGGGGGCGCAGACGGCGAUGCAAGCCAGGAGGGAAAGCCCGGGGCCCAACCCCGGGACUGCUGUUGGCACUGCGUGGCGAGAGUGCAGGAGGGGCAGGCGGAAUUCCUGGUGUAGCGGUGAAAUGCGUAGAUAUCAGGAGGAACACCGGUGGCGAAGGCGGCCUGCUGGACUGCAACUGACGUUGAGGCCCGAAAGCGUGGGGAGCAAACAGGAUUAGAUACCCGAGUAGUC
rnacentral:rRNA from 1 species